UACGGGGGGGGCAAGCGUUGUUCGGAAUUACUGGGCGUAAAGGGCUCGUAGGUGGCCAACUAAGUCGGACGUGAAAUCCCUCAGCUUAACUGGGGAACUGCGUCCGAUACUGGAUGGCUCGAGUUUGGGAGAGGGAUGCGGAAUUCCAGGUGUAGCGGUGAAAUGCGUAGAUAUCUGGAGGAACACCGGUGGCGAAGGCGGCAUCCUGGACCAACACUGACACUGAGGAGCGAAGGCCAGGGGAGCAAACGGG
rnacentral:rRNA from 1 species